UGGAGAGAGGAGGGGAAGACAGAGAGAGAGGGGAGAGAAAGAUAGACACCUGCAGACCUGCUUCACCGCCCGUGAAGCGACUCCCCUGCAAGUGGGGAGCCGGGGGCUCGAACCGGGAUUCUUACGCCAGUCCCUGCGCUUUGCGCCACGUGCGCUUAACCCACUGCGCCACCGCCCGACUCCCGGUCCUAUAAUUCUUAACAAGCUCAUGGCCUUUUGCGGCAACAGAUUGAUGCCAUAAAAAUGCAACUAUACAAACUCACUAUCAUAGGCUGGACAUGGCAGAAUAUUGAGUUGCUGUGGAGGAUUCUCCCCCCUCCAUCAGAACGUCCACCAUGUAAAGGGCUGGCUAGCCAAUGACGGGUAAGAGGAAACUAGCGCUAUCCAGUCAACCUAAGACAGGGCACCUGGUACUACUGGGCAAAAAUGACCAGGUGUUCCAAUGAUGGGUAAGACGGAAGGCUGAUCCCCAACCUAAGACAGGCACAGUCCACCCUGCCACAAAACAAAGUCUGCCAAACAUCAAAACAUGACAUAAGACAGGGGGACAUGUGGGGAGCCACAUGUGCCCUCAAGGUUGCUAUUGGCAUGGCCAUAGAGUUUAUGUUAAAAGAUAGUUCCUGGGAAUCGGGCGGUGGCACAGUGGGUUUAGCACAGGUGGCGUUAAGUGCAACAACUGGCUUGAGGAUCCCAGUUUGAGCCCCCGGCUCCUCACCUGCAGGGGAAUCACUUCACGGGUGGUGAAGCAGGUCUACAGGUGUCUUUCUCUCCCCCUGUCUUCCCCUCCUCUCUCCAUUUCUCUCUGUUCUAUCCAACAACCACAAUAUCAGCAAUAACAACAAUAUAAUUACAACAAUAAAACAACUAGGGCAACAAAAGGCAAGAUACAAAAAAAAGGGAUAAGAUAGUUCCCACUUCCCUACACCUUAGAGUCUUUGUUAAAAAAUAAGUUCUUUUUCCCCAUGAAUAUAUAAUAACAAAUGAAUAGGAAAGAUACAUCCCCCAAUACUCAGUUGGCUAAGGCACCAAACCUCUUUUUCUAUAAAGUAUUCAAAUCAGAUGCCCUGCUAACCACGAGAAGCAGAUUGUUUGUGUUUCUUCCACAGGAAUCCCGGAAAAAACCAUCUGGACCCCUGCACACCCUGACAUCACCCACUAGAUGGCACGACUACAGUGGCACACCCCCCGAAACCCUAGAUGUCACCUGACGCGAUCUGAAGAACCUGAUUCACAGAGUCCAAGGACAGAACUUUUUUACUGUCUGUCUGCCUUUCCUGCUUCCGCUUUGCCUGUCACGUUUUGGUGGUUCCAGCUCACAAUCUACAGAAAAGCGGAAUUCCAGAGGCUGACCUUCCUCAUGCAGCAUUUCAUCCCCUGCCAUUUCUCCCCCUAGUCGCCUACUUUGGACUGAGACUUCUAUCAGACUUGCUGACCCCCUCUCUCAUCUCUGCGGCCCACGCACAACAACAUCGCGCUCAACAACAGUGGCCAAGCAGACAAGGGCCCUCUCAGGCAAACAGCCUCUCGGGAAUCACUAUGGUGACUUACUCCCUGAAUCUGCCAGGUCAAACAGUGGCUCUGCACCAGGAAUUAAAAAGACUGUAUCCAGAGACUUCACGUGUGGAAUGACAACCCUUCAGCUUCAUUACUCGGGUGAGACCUCUCCUUUUAUAGUACACUCUAAUUUCAUCUCAGGUAGUUCACUAUCUAACAAAGUCCCAUAACCUAGAUAUACACCAGUUUCUGUGAGAGAGAGCUUAUGUGCACACGUAUCCAUAAACUACUGCAAAAUAUAUACCUGAAAGCAGAAGUACACUAGAGUUUGCAGUGAGUACCUCCCUAACACUUCCUCUCCACUAUUCCAAGCUUGGGAUCCAUGACUGCUCAACAAAUUGUUUGGCUUCCUAUGUUAACUCUCUUUUCAAUCACCAGGUUCCAGAUGCCACCAGGAUGCUGGCCAGGCUUCCCUGGAUUGAAGACCCCACCAAUGUGUCCUGCAGCUCAGCUUCCCCAGAGGCACACCUUACUAGGGAAAGAGGGAGGCAGACUGGGAGUAUGGACCGACCAGUCAACGCCCAUGUUCAGUGGGGAAGCAAUUACAGAA